AAUAAAUCAAUCUUUUACUUUUUUACCUACGAUGUUUGACUCUUUGUCUUAUUAAAAAAAUUACGAUUAACAUUUUUGUUUUUACUAGAUGAUAAAUCAUAAAUAGUACUUUACGUGUGACUAAUUUUUUUUAAUUUCUUGAAAAAUUUUCAAAUAAAACAGAUGGUCAAACGCUGGACACACAUGGUCAAAAGUUUGCCUUAUU
rnacentral:pre_miRNA from 1 species